rnacentral:rRNA from 1 species
CGCGUAGGCGGAAUGGCAAGUCGGUCGUGAAAUCCUUCGGCUCAACCGAAGAACGUCGAUCGAAACUGCCGUUCUUGAGGAUUGCAGAGGAGACUGGAAUUCCCGGUGUAGCGGUGAAAUGUGUAGAGAUCGGGAGGAACACCGGUGGCGAAGGCGGGUCUCUGGGCAAUUCCUGACGCUGAGGCGCGAAAGCGUGGGAGCAAACG